AAUGUAAGUUUUUGAUGCAGUGCUGCCUGAGAGAUCGAAGUUCACAGGCAUUCGAUGUUGGUUUUUCGGCCUUGCCGCUUACGUGUAGAAAGUUCUCCAGAUUCUCUGAAUCUUCUGAUUAUAUUAUGGGCUGUAGAUGAUGGAAUCCCUAAAUUCCUUGCAACUAAAUGUG